UCUCCUGAAGCUCAGUGGUGGAGCGUCCGACCGGUGUGCGGAAGGUCAUAGGUUCGACUCCGGUUGGGGGAA
rnacentral:tRNA from 1 species